GUGGCUCAGUGGUAGAGUGCUUGUCUUACAUACAUGAAGACCUGGGUUCUAUUCCUCAGC
rnacentral:tRNA from 1 species